rnacentral:rRNA from 1 species
UGGGGAAUAUUGGACAAUGGGGGCAACCCUGAUCCAGCAAUGCCGCGUGUGUGAAGAAGGCCUUCGGGUUGUAAAGCACUUUAGGCGGGGAAGAAGGUGUGCGGUUUAAGAGAUGGCACAUUUGACUGUACCCGCAGAAUAAGCACCGGCUAACUCUGUGCCAGCAGCCGCGGUAAUACAGAGGGUGCGAGCGUUAAUCGGAAUAACUGGGCGUAAAGGGCGCGUAGGUGGUUAUGUAAGAUCGAUGUGAAAUCCCUGGGCUUAACCUAGGAACUGCAACGAUGACUGGAUAGCUGGAGUACUGUAGAGGGUAGUAGAAUUUCCGGUGUAGCAGUGAAAUGCGUAGAGAUCGGAAGGAAUACCAGUGGCGAAGGCGGCUACCUGGACAGAUACUGACACUGAGGCGCGAAAGCGUGGGGAGCAAACAG